CCUACGGGAGGCAGCAGUGAGGAAUAUUGGUCAAUGGACGCAAGUCUGAACCAGCCAUGCCGCGUGCAGGAAGACGGCUCUAUGAGUUGUAAACUGCUUUUGUACGAGGGUAAACGCAGAUACGUGUAUCUGUCUGAAAGUAUCGUACGAAUAAGGAUCGGCUAACUCCGUGCCAGCAGCCGCGGUAAUACGGAGGAUUCAAGCGUUAUCCGGAUUUAUUGGGUUUAAAGGGUGCGUAGGCGGUCGGAUAAGUUAGAGGUGAAAUCCCGAGGCUCAACUUCGGAAUUGCCUCUGAUACUGUUCGGCUAGAGAGUAGUUGCGGUAGGCGGAAUGUAUGGUGUAGCUGUGAAAUGCUUAGAGAUCAUACAGAACACCGAUUGCGAAGGCAGCUUACCAAGCUACUUCUGACGUUGAGGCACGAAAGCGUGGGGAGCAAACAGGAUUAGAUACCCGGGUAGUC
rnacentral:rRNA from 1 species